UCGAUGUCGACACCCCAUGCACGGAUGUAGACACCGCAACGUAAUGGCUUGCUACACCCCGUGCAUUGUGGGUGGCGAGCGGCUGGUUUGGAUUCCCGCUCACGGCCACCGUCAGUGGCGAGCGGAAGCUUCUGAAGCGGCGGCUCGCUGGGCCUCCUCUACGUCGACUCAGCCUGAAGGCGGGUGUCUCAGAUUGCCAGCACCAUGUGAUGGGAGCUCCAGGGCAUGCUGUGUGCUCGCCAGGAGGGGCUGGGCAAGAUGGCGUAGUCGCUGGAGCAGCUGCGGGCGCGGCACCGCCGCUCUCACCCUGGCGGAGUGCAGCAACACAGUGGGGUGGCACCAGCGGGACACUCUGGACAACGCAGCCAAGGCUGUUGCCCCGCUCGCCCGACUCGUUGAGAGGUUGGCCACCCCCCAGGGCGUUGUCGUGAAGAUACCGCUGGGAGGAAGAAUAUCUCACAAUACUGGAAGAGGCGGUGGUGUUGCAAGCCUGUAAUCCAGCAGUGGAAGGCAGCAAGGGACGGCUCCUGGUUCGUCAUCCCCAUAUCUUCGGCAGUCGCAGGCUGGAGGUGCUGAUGGAGCCGAGGGAGCCGACAGAGCCGAGGAGAGGAGGCCGUGAUGGCGGGAAGGAGGCUGUGAUACACUGACUCAUCUUACACUGCCUCACUCACACAACAUACACUGACUCAGUCAUACAUCUUACACUCACACAACCACUGACCCAUUCACUGAUCAUACACAAUUCACUCAUCAUACACUCACUCAUCAUACGUUGACUCACUCAUUAUACACUCACUCACACUCUCACUGACUCACUCACUCAUCUUACACUGACUCAGUCACUCAACAUACACUGACUCAGUCAUACAUCUUACACUCACUCACACAACCACUGACCCAUUCACUCAUCAUACACAAUUCACUCAUCAUACACUCACUCAUCAUACGUUGACUCACUCAUCAUACACUCACUCACACUCUCACUGACUCACUCACACAUCAUACACUAACUCAUCAUAUGCUGACUCACACAUCAUACACAAGGAGUGUCAUGCUGCCAGCUAUGGCUACAAGUUCGGUCGUACAUGUUAUGUAUAUCGUUUA